ACACGUUAAGUCUCGCAACUCGCGGUCAUCCCGUUCACGGAGGAUCAGUGUAUGUCACGUAAACUCUGAACGGUGCUGUUAAAGCGGUUAACGUAAGCAGUGAAGAUGUGCGAGAACCUUUGAUAACUUGCUACUUCGCUUAAUUGUUUGAUUGUAGUGCUUUUUUCUAACUUUGGUUUAAAGAAUGAGUUAAUCCAGCCCAUCUUCCUGUCUGGCUUUUUCGCAGCAUAUAUUCACUCCGAAGUAACUUUCCCAGGAGGAGACAGAUGGAGAUUUCGAGUUCAUUCAAAGGUAUUUACGAGGAGCAAAGAUGUUGAAAGGAAAAGUUCCAUCUAAAACCACAGGGCAAAUGGUACAGAAGAAACCGGUUGAAGUGAACUCAAGUUGCCACUCUUCUUUGCAAAGUGAAGGAUUUUCAUUGGAAUUUCUAAAUCUGUUUCAGUGACUGGCGGAAACAAAAGGAGCCUGAAAGAAGAGAGAGAGAAGAGGGAGAAACAAGUGGGGCAUUACAUAUCCAAAAAAAAAAAAA